rnacentral:misc_RNA from 1 species
GAUGAAGAACGUAGCGAAAUGCGAUAAGUAGUGUGAAUUGCAGAAUCCAGUGAAUCAUCGAAUCUUUGAACGCACAUUGCGGCCAUAGGUAUUCCUUUGGCCAUGCCUGUUCGAGCGUCAUUUACACCCUCAAGCCUAGCUUGGUGUUGGGCGCCUGUCCCGCCGUUUUCGCGCGCGGACUCGCCUCAAAGUCAUUGGCGGCGGUCGUGCCGGCCCCCUCGCGCAGCACAUUUGCGCUUCUCGGAGGCCCGGCGGAUCCGCGCUCCAGCAAGACCUUUCACGACUUGACCUCGGAUCAGGUAGGGAUACCCGCUGAACUUAAGCAUAUCAAUAAGCGGAGGA